GGCUAAUGGUUGAUUUAAAAAAAUAAAUAAAUUAUAUUUUAUGUUAUUAUGUGAAUAAUUUACUGAUUUUGUGUGGUAACUAGCUUUAAUUCAUUAAAGAUUGACAAUUCUACUAAUUGCAUGCCAUCUUUUUCCGAUUUAUGUUCCACAAAGUUGGACUGUUGGUACAUAUUUAUCUUUUUAUUUCGCUAGUUUUUAUUUUGUAGGAAAAUUGAGAUUAAUAAUUUGCUAAAUGUCAUGUAUACAUGUUAAUUUAUAGAGUAUCAGAAUCAGAAAUACAGUACACAAGUGUAAAGAGUCUAAGUAGUAUAAAAAUACCUUUAAAAUGUUUUGUUUUUGUUUCGUUUUUUUAAUAAAAGCGGAUGAACAUGUGGGAUUGUUUACUGUACCUUCUUGGCCUCUGUUGGUUGCCCUGUGCUGUUUUUAAAUAGCACAAACUGUGGACAACAAACAUUUAUGAUUAUUGCUUUUAAAUGGCCACGAAAUUAGAUUUGAUGAGAUUAGACUUUAUCCCACAUGGAUGAAAUGAAUUUGUUACAGCAGCAAAAUGGCAGAAGCAGAUAAAAGGAAUAAAGUUGGAGUAAAAUAUGAAAGUUGUAGGAUGGAGGACUAUCUUAUCUUAUGUGACAAAUAGUGCCAAAAUAGAGGUGGCAACAGCGUUACAGUAAGUUUUCAUAAACUACUCUUAAUUCUACAUGCAGCUGUAUUCGUGUAUUUCUAACCGAACAUCCUCUCUUUAUUGUGAAAUCACAGUGCCAUCGUGUUCCGCGUGUUGCUCCGCUCCUCUGCGGACACGUUAUUGACGCAGGUCUGCCUGAAGAGCCCGGAGCCUCCACUCCUCCUGCAGCCCCAGCAGAGAGAGCGCCACACAGCCUCGGCGGCGUCAGCUUGGCUGGAACCGCAGCGCCUGCAUAUGAGAUCCCUCCGCCGACGCCGCCGCUCCCCCCCCUCUCCUCAUCCCCGGAACUUUCCCAGGAUUUUAAGGAUUUCGCGGUGAGGUUUGAUGGUCCUAUCACAGGCUGUCUCCAGGAUACCAGGACCUGUCUGAUUGGCUAGUCGCUCUUCUGUGAUGAUUCCAGUUUCCAGGCUCCGGUGAGGUAGCGCAGGCGAAUGAAAAUCAGAUCUCGGCCCAUCUGCAGCCAGCUCCAAAAUGGGACUAGCUUGGAUCCUGGCAGAGCAGAUGAAUAUGCACUUAAUCCUCAAAUUAUAAUUUUAAGAGACAGACAAUGGAAAUAUACCGUUUUACCUAUUAAAAGUGGACAAACCCUGCAAUAAUGUUAUCAGUCAAAUAUAUAGAAAAUACAUCAUGUCAGGAAAAAAAGAUAUGACAAUAAAACCCACAAAGAUAAGCAA